rnacentral:lncRNA from 1 species
GGUGUCUUUCGCCUCAUUUGUUCGUAAAAUCUAAUCACAAAAUUCGUGCGAUAAAAAGUUGGAAAAAAAAACAUUACAAUAAUAGCCGGACCAAUGUAUGGUAUGGACAUGCAAAUAGGGACUGUCAUACAGAAAACAGCCUAUAUUACAUACAUUACAUAAUCUUGAUGUUCAUAUAAACCCAAUACGAAGGCUAUUUUAAUAUUCA